CGUGUAGGCGGCUGGGUAAGUCAGAUGUGAAAGUCCCGGGCUCAACCCGGGAAGUGCAUUUGAUACUGUUCAGCUAGAGUAGGGGAGAGGAAAGUGGAAUUCCUGGUGUAGGGGUGAAAUUCGUAGAUAUCAGGAGGAACACCGGUGGCGAAGGCGGCUUUCUGGCCCUAUACUGACGCUGAGACGCGAAAGCGUGGGGAGCAAACAGGAUUAGAUACCCUGGUAGUCC
rnacentral:rRNA from 1 species